CCUACGGGAGGCAGCAGUGGGGAAUAUUGCACAAUGGGGGAAACCCUGAUGCAGCGACGCCGCGUGAGUGAUGAAGUAUUUCGGUAUGUAAAGCCCUAUCAGCAGGGAAGAAAUAGCGACCUUUGGGUCGCCAGACGGUACCUGACGAAGAAGACGCGGCUAACUACGCGCCAGCAGCCGCGGUAAUACGUAGGGGGCAAGCGGUAUCCGGAUUUACUGGGUGUAAAGGGAGCGGAGACGGCAGUACAAGUCUGAAGUGAAAUGCCCGGGCUUAACCCCGGAACUGCUGUGGAAACUGUGCAGCUAGAGUGCGGGAGAGGUAAGUGGAAUUCCUGGUGUAGCGGUGAAAUGCGUAGAUAUUAGGAAGAACACCAGUGGCGAAGGCGGCUUACUGGACUGUAACUGACGUUGAGGCUCGAAAGCGUGGGGAGCAAACAGGAUUAGAUACCCCAGUAGUC
rnacentral:rRNA from 1 species